rnacentral:rRNA from 1 species
AAAUUGAAGAGUUUGAUCAUGGCUCAGAUUGAACGCUGGCGGCAGGCCUAACACAUGCAAGUCGAACGGUAACAGGAAGCAGCUUGCUGCUUUGCUGACGAGUGGCGGACGGGUGAGUAAUGUCUGGGAAACUGCCUGAUGGAGGGGGAUAACUACUGGAAACGGUGGCUAAUACCGCAUAACGUCGCAAGACCAAAGAGGGGGACCUUCGGGCCUCUUGCCAUCAGAUGUGCCCAGAUGGGAUUAGCUUGUUGGUGAGGUAACGGCUCACCAAGGCGACGAUCCCUAGCUGGUCUGAGAGGAUGACCAGCCACACUGGAACUGAGACACGGUCCAGACUCCUACGGGAGGCAGCAGUGGGGAGUAUUGCACAAUGGGCGCAAGCCUGAUGCAGCCAUGCCGCGUGUAUGAAGAAGGCCUUCGGGUUGUAAAGUACUUUCAGCGGGGAGGAAGGUGUUG